AUUAAAAGCAAACACUUCUUAUUAUUAACUUUUAUAAGAAACGUACAUAUAUUGAUACAAGAGAAAUAAAUCUCAACACUCACAACAUAAUAGCAAAACACACAUGAAAUAGAACACAGAAAACCAAACCAGGGUCUUAUUUAACUUAUUAAAAGACUAAAGCAUAUAGAGCUAAUUCAAACGUAUGAUAUAGCUCCAUAUUAUUGUCUGCAAUACUUGACCCAUAAAAUCAAAUAUUAGUUACCGGCUAGAUAUAGCUAGCAACUAAUUAGGUUUGUGCAAGGAGGCUUUGCAAGAAGUUCUCUAGGAGGAAAGCUUUGUUCUCACCAGAGCGAGGAAUUGCAGAGUCGUUAGCAUUCCAAACAAAAAUACCAGGGAGUUUU
rnacentral:lncRNA from 1 species